rnacentral:rRNA from 1 species
GAUAAACGCUGGCGGCGUGCCUAACACAUGCAAGUCGAACGUCCUCUUUUGCUUCGGCGGGAGAGGGAGUGGCGGACGGGUGAGUAACACAUGGGUACCUGCCUUUCAGUGAGGAAUACCGGCGAGAAAUCGCCGACAAGACCGCAUGCGCUUGUCGUUCGAGAGAGCGACAAGGAAAGUUCUUUCGCGAGAAGGGACGCUGGAAGAGGGGCCUGUGGCCGAUUAGCUAGUUGGGGGGGUAAAGGCCUCCCAAGGCGACGAUCGGUAGCUGGUCUGA